AUUGAACGCUAGCGGGAUGCCUUACACAUGCAAGUCGAACGGAGUGGCGAACGGGCGAGUAAUGUAUCGGAACGUGCCCAGUAGCGGGGGAUAACUACGCGAAAGCGUAGCUAAUACCGCCUACUAUUGGAGCGGCCGAUAUCGGAUUAGCUAGUGGGUGGGGUAACGGCUCACCACGGCGACGAUCCGUAGCUGGUUUGAGAGGACGAACAGCCACACUGGGACGGAGAACCGGCCCAGACUAAUACGGGAGGAAGCAGUGGGGAAUGUUGGACAAGGGGGGAAACCCGGGUCCAGCCAUCCCGCGUGUGCGAUGAAGGCCUUCGGGUUGUAAAGCACUUUUGGCAGGAAAGCGGUACCUGCAGAAUAAGCACCGGCUAACUACGUGCCAGCAGCCGCGGUAAUAC
rnacentral:rRNA from 1 species